rnacentral:rRNA from 1 species
UUGGACCUGAUAUCAGGCAAGAUUAUCCGCUGAACUUAAGCAUAUCAAUAAGCGGAGGAA